GCUCCAGGUCCUCAGCUUUGUGAGCUGUCACCCACACUGGGGUGGCCUUUGGUGAUACAGCUGUCUUUGAGUCAUUUCUGCUCCUGUUAACCAGAUAUAGGACUCCUCUGUCUUGCUACGAUGGACAGCCACAAGGAUUCACUUGAAUAAAAGAAGCAACAGUGGGUGCCAGGCUGUUUGCGGACCUGGGUUUGGUGUCUAACAUCCAUGUGGUGGCUCACAUCCAUCAGUAACUCCAUUCGAGGAGAUCCAAUACCCUCUACUGCCCUCCUCUAGUACCACACAGAGUUUGAUUUUGAUUUUGAUUUCUGGCAGUGCUGUGGAUUGAAUGGCGGGCCUUGCACAGAAAUGUGCUGUUUUGUUAUACAUUUAUUACAAAGAAUCUCACAAAAAGAAAAUAUUUCAAAAAGAAUGCCAGGCUAAAGAACCUCCACCUGGAGAACUGGGGGAAGGCAGGGCAAUGUAAGUUCUUCUGCCUGCCCAAGACCUGUGGAAGAUAUAAACAGAACCAGUCUAAAAAUGGCUGAUAUUACCCAAGCCUGAAAAGGGCUCACAGAACACCAAGUCACCCCUGCUAGAAAGCUUAAUCAGGGCAUCUUAACAGAGCUCCUAAGCAGGCUUGGCAGUUCAGGAUUUUGUCUUCUGGUUGUUUUCUUUUCCACUUAGAAUAUCAACGUCAACAUACAGCACCCUCUGGCCAUACUUUAGCAGUUCCAGGAUGGCCAAGACGACAUCGUUGAUGUAACAGAAACCUGAGGCGUCAGACUUCUUUACAUGAUGCAGUCCCCCAGCCUGGCUCGCA
rnacentral:lncRNA from 1 species